AAAAAGGGAAUUUCAGGUGCCCGGAUAGCUCAAGUUGGUGGAGCGAGCGCCCAUAUAUAGAGGUUUACUUCUCAAUGCAGUGGGCCCGCGAUUGACUACGACCUGCGGCCCGUUCCUGCAUGUUAUUACCCCUAUCGCUCUUCUUUCAUUUCUUCAG